AUAGGGGGCGGUCCUUCCGGCCCCUCACUUCCGGCCCUGGCGCUGCGGCGGACGGUGUGGCAGCGCCGCUCGGCCCGCUCCGCUCCGCUCCCGCCCGCCCCGCCGCCGCCCGCCCCCCUUUCCCUCAUGCAACGCCGCGACGAUCCCUCCGCCCGCUUAGGCCGGGGACCGGGCCCCGGCGGUGCCCGGCAAGGGGCGCCUCCACCACGGCGGCCGCCCCGUGGCGGUGGGGGCCGCGGAGCCGCCGCCGCCGCCGCCACCGGGGCGCAACCUCCGCCGCUUCUGCCACCCAGCGCCACGGCCGCCGCUUCGGCCGCUCAGGCCCCCGCCGCCGCCCCCACUCCGCUGCUGCCCGGGGCCGCUGUCAAGAUGGAGCCCGAGAACAAGUACCUGCCCGAGCUGAUGGCCGAGAAGGACAGCCUCGACCCGUCCUUCACGCACGCCAUGCAGCUCCUCACAGCAGAAAUUGAAAAAAUUCAGAAGGGUGAAACAACAAAGAAGGAUGAGGAAGAGAACUACCUGGAUUUAUUUUCCCACAAGAAUAUGAAACUGAAAGAACGAGUUCUGAUACCUGUCAAACAGUACCCCAAGUUCAACUUUGUUGGAAAGAUUUUGGGACCUCAAGGCAACACCAUCAAGAGACUUCAGGAAGAAACUGGUGCUAAGAUAUCUGUGCUUGGGAAGGGUUCAAUGCGAGAUAAAGCAAAGGAGGAAGAACUGCGUAAAGGGGGAGAUCCUAAAUAUGCUCAUCUAAAUAUGGAUUUGCAUGUCUUCAUUGAAGUUUUUGGACCCCCUUGUGAAGCAUAUGCUCUGAUGGCUCACGCCAUGGAAGAAGUCAAGAAGUUCCUCGUUCCGGAUAUGAUGGAUGAUAUCUGUCAGGAGCAAUUCUUGGAGCUCUCCUAUCUGAAUGGCGUACCAGAGCCAACUCGUGGCCGAGGAGUCCCUGUGCGGGGAAGGGGAGCAGCUCCGCCACCGCCUCCACCUGUUCCAAGGGGGCGUGGUGUUGGUCCUCCCCCUCCUCCUCCUCCUCCUCGGGGGGCCCUUGUGCGAGGAGCCCCGGUUCGGGGUGCCAUUGCUAGGGGAGCUGCUGUAGCCCGUGGAGUACCUCCUCCCCCAGCAGUACGGGGUGCUCCUGCACCCAGAGCGCGUGCAGCCGGAAUUCAGAGAAUACCGCUUCCUCCUCCUCCCGCACCAGAAACCUAUGAGGAAUAUGGCUAUGAUGAUGCAUAUGCAGACCAGAGCUAUGAGGGGUAUGAAGGCUACUACAGCCAGGGCCAAGGGGACACAGAAUACUAUGAUUAUGGACACGGGGAGGCACAGGAAACCUAUGAAGCUUAUGGGCAAGAUGACUGGAACGGAACCAGGCCCUCCCUGAAGGCCCCGCCGGCCAGGCCAGUGAAGGGGGCCUACAGAGAGCACCCAUACGGACGUUAUUAAAAAACAAACAUGAGGGAAAAAUAUCAGUUAUGAGCAAACAGUUGUUACUGAUUCUUGUAUCUCCCGGGAUUCCCGUUGCUUUACCCACACCAGACAAGAGUCAAGAGUACAUCGCUGUGAAUCACUUGGGUGAAGAUGAGCAGGGGCAACAAGAAGUGGGUAAGUUUGUUUAUUUUUGCAACCCGUUGCAAGUUACUAACAUGUUUUGUGUGGGAGGUGGGGGGCGGCACCAUCUGAGCUGCUAAAUUGAAGCCAUUCUUUAUGUACCCACAAAUAAAUUACUCUUGUGAAAGGCCAGUUACAUGACUGACACUCUUGCAGAGGUCAUGGUGUGGAGGAGGCUUCGGUAUGUACCUGCACAGAGCUCUCCCACCGAGAUCCCAUGGAGAAGGAGGUUUAAGUGGAUUUGAGGAGAGAGGGAAACGUAAGGAGAUCUGUCUCUGGGAGCUGAUUCCCAGCUGAGAUGCUGGCCUUCGUGGGAGUGCUCUCGGCAGCAGGGUAGCGUUGAAGUUGUUGUUACCCCAUGCUCUAGAAAGAGAGCAGCUCAAGGAACGGCUCAAUAGGAAUUCCUGUAGGAGUCCGUGAUGCAUCAGAAUUAUAGACUGCAGGUUUUAGACCAGAUGCUGCCCAGCUAGGCCUUGCUAGUUCUACCCCUUCCACCCCCAUCGAUGGGCUCUGAAAUGUGAUCUGCCUGCUGGCUGUUCUGUUUUUUAUGGCUUUUUGUCUGAUGUCAUUGCUGGAGACGGCUCGGGCAGCGGUCCUGCCGGCCCGGCUGGGACACGUUUAGCUCGGAGCCCCGCAGGGCUGCACGCCUGGCGUCAGCGAGUGAACACCCUGAGCCCUCGGGAGGGGUGAUGGACCCCCAGCACCUUUGGGUGCUGGUGGGGGUCAGCACCCACAGUGGCGGGGCUCCCUCUGGUGGCUGCUCUGGCCCCACUGACGUGCUCGUUCUACCAUAAAUACCUCCAUAAAUGCACGCCGGUGCUUGCCAAACUGAAGUGGUACCUUGGUUGGGGAGAUAAUCACGCAUCAGUGGAGUGACCUGCUUACACAGCAAGGACACAUCUCCCCCCAGGCCCAAAGGCAGCAGCCGUAAGCGUUUCCUUUGGGGACAGCUAAUCGCUGUCUCUCAAAUCUCGAGAUCACUGAGAGUCUGAGCUCCAUAAAUAAAAGAACAAAGAAAUAAACCCUUGCAAUGCUGAAGAAGUCUAAUGGCUUCAAAAGACAACUGUGAAAAGCCCUGGGCAUAGGACAUCGAAGGACAUAAUUCUCAUUUUAUAUGGAAUUGUAAAGCUACCAAACGAGCUUCUCUUAUCUUAGGAGUAUUGGGAACAAGAAAGCGGUGAUAUGUGGAAAUGCUGCAACAGAGUGAGAUUGCCCUCAAUUCUUUGACUUUAGCUUGAAAAUUGGAUCCAUAGUUUUCUGCUAGGGAAAUCAUAACAUGUCUGGAUUUGUGGCCUGUUUAUCGAAUGCAUCUUCAUUUACAAUGUAAUUGGAACAUCAAUUUAUACGGUGUUGUACCAAUCUUUCCCAUUUCUUUCUUAAUAGGCACAGCUUUUAUAUCAAGUGGAAAAGAUUUGAUAGAGAUCAUCUAUUAUGAUGCAGUUUUUUACCAGUAGAAGUGGAUCUUGUGACACUGCCUUUGGAGUAAUACAGCUUGCUUGUGCAUUGCAUUUGUUGCAUGUUUAUGUGAAAGAUUUUAAUGUUAUGGAGGAAUGUAAAUCUUAAUAUAUUGAAAUAACUGUAUAUGCUAAAAGUAUUUUGAAAACAUGCCCUGCAUCAAACAUCUUCCUCCCUCUCAUAGCAUUACUACAUUCAGAUUUUAGCCUAGAGUCUGCAAAAGCUAAUUUGAGAUCCCAAAAUAGCCAUCAGCAUCGGAUGUGUCUCUCAAAGAUGCUCUAAUUAGCCAGACGUUCCGGGGGUGAUACGGGACUUGCUGAAAUUUGUGAGGGGUAGAGAUUCCUUUGAGUACUGAAGUCUGAGUCACCUAAAUAACCUUCCCUUUUAUACCGGCAUGUAGCCACUGGAGGUGGUAUUCUCCUGGCUGUGAGCUAACAACCGCCAGUGAUCUUUCAUCCCCCAAUUUCCCCAAAGGACUAAUCCACAUCUUAUUAUUUGUAGCAUUUUGGUAAAGGCCAUAACCAAGAUAAAGGCCCCCAUUGUGCUUGGUACUGUACAGUGUGAUGUACAGCAGCAGUCACGUCUCCUCUGUGGAAGUGUUUCCCAACAAUACUGUUCUUUUCAAGAGAAGCUUGGCUCUAGAAACAUCCUCCUGCUGCAGAGCGCUCUGUGUCCCAGCAGUCCCAUCUUCUCUGGCCCUUGCUCUGAGCGGCCACAGCUUCUUCAGCCUCUAGUCCAGCCCUUUGGUAUAAAUACUCUGGCUGCCCUUGCUUGGAGCUGGUACAAACCUGGACUUUACACUUCCCCGGUGAGGUCUCACCAUGCAUAGCAGUUCAUAGCCAGUAUCUUGGACAGCAACAGGAGUGUGAAACUAAGCUUGCAGGAAAACACUCCAACUGGUAUUGCAGAGAUAGCCCCAGCAGCUUUUCCUGGAAAGAGACUGUCAUACCCUGCCUGUUCCUUAACCCUGGUUUCAAGUUGCUGUUCGGGUUAUUAAAUAAAGCAAAUGACUACAGGCUUUGUUUUAUAACUUACCUAUGGUAUUUUUAUGUUUAACUUAAAACACUGUGCUUUCAGUAAGGCGAAGACAUUACCUUGAUAGGGCCCUCUGUAAAAUUCCCUAUUUGGUAAGUUGGGUUUAAGAGCACAGCUGGAUUCCCUGUUCGGCUGUUAAAGCAGAUGAUUCUUUUUGUACAGAAUGAGUUUUUAAAUUUGUAUGAGAGCAUCUGUCACAAACAGAGCCAAGAAAAACAAUUUAAAUGUGCACGUCUUCCCUUCCUCAACCCAUGCCGCUGCUCUCCUAAAGAACACUUGGGCAGAGGGUGAUUCCUGCAGCCUGUGAUAGACCCUCCAAAUGGCCCCAGAGGACGAGAGACCAGCUGUGACCUGUCUGCUGGGAGAUGCAGAGGAGAACAGGCGGUGUUGCAAACACAGCUCUUCUCUCAGCUGCGAGGAACAAGUACAUAUGGUGCUUUUGGGGAGGAAGACAGGGCUUAGGGAAAUUCUUCUUUAAUUGAUAAACCUAUAACAUCUUGGAUGAGAUGUUGGACACAUGCCCCAUUUGUAAGCUUUGAGGGGGAGGAAUUUCUGCAGGCUAGUCAGGGCCCGUGGGAACUCCCAUCUCGAAUGUAGAUGUUACUCCUCUUUUUCUACUCAGGAAGCUCAGUUCCUUUGAGCACAGAACAGAAACCUCUGCUGUUAUUGCUCAGUUGAGCCUUCCAUUGCUACCAUAUGUUUUAAUAGAAAUGUUUGUUUCCAUGCUCAUUUUGCUCCUUUUGCAAAGUGGGAUGAAUCUCUGACAAGCUGAUUUCAGAUCUGAUAAAGGAGCACCGUUAAGAUGCCGUUCGCUUCACUGUGGCUGGGAAGUAGGAACCUGCCAGCUCUUGGUGAGUGUUGGAGAACACCAGAGCCUCCCUCGGCUGCCGCAACCCCUGGAGAGCAGCAACUGUGUGUUGGAGUACUGAAAUAUAAAGUGUUUUCCAAUGAAGCUGUUACUUUUACCACUGGCUUUAGAACCAAAUACGACCAAAGGCUUGUACGCGCUGUUACAGAUGCAAACCUGUUUUUAACCUGACAUCGGUGCCUCCUACCUGUUACCUUUAUAGUUGUUCCUGGAAGACUUUGUUAAAACCGCAGGUGUCUGGAUACUCCUGGUUUUUGAUGGCUCUGCACAAUGUAGGUUUCAAAACCAGUAAGAAAUGAAAGAUUGGCCCUGUGAAAGUUCAUUAAUUUUAGAGCUGGCUUUGCCUCCAGCCCAGGCAGGGGUGGUUCUCCGGAUUGUAUAAUGCUCCAUCUGUACUGAAGCAUCAAACCACCCACAAGUUAGGGAAAUCAAUGAGAAAUCCUGCAAGUGGUUGGUAAAGAUGGUGAAAACUGAUCAAGGUGAAUCACAGCAUUAAAAUAACUUGUAUAGGAAACUGGCAAGCUCUUCUGCGCCUGGUAUUUAGCGAGAAGUGUUCAACAGAUGUUGAAAGUGAUUAGUCAUUCCCGAUAAUAAAGGCCUAACAUUGAAAA